rnacentral:rRNA from 1 species
GCGGGUAUGACCCCUGCUGUGCCGGAGUUAACGCAUUAAGUUCUCCGCCUGGGGAGUACGGCCGCAAGGCUAAAACUCAAAGGAAUUGACGGGGACCCGCACAAGCGGUGGAGCAUGUGGUUUAAUUCGACGCAACGCGAAGAACCUUACCUGGAUUUGACAUCCUCUGACAACCUUGGAAACAAGGCCUUUCCGACUUGUCGGAACAGAGUGACAGGUGCUGCAUGGCUGUCGUCAGCUCGUGUCGUGAGAUGUUGGGUUAAGUCCCGCAACGAGCGCAACCCUUGUUUUUAGUUGCCAGUAUUAAGUUAGGCACUCUAAAGAUACUGCCUCGGUUAACGGGGAGGAAGGUGGGGAUGACGUCAAGUCCUCAUGGCCUUUAUAUCCAGGGCUACACACGUGCUACAAUGGGCUGUACAAAGGGUAGCAACGCCGCGAGGUGUAGCAAAUCUCAAAAAACAGUUCUCAGUUCGGAUUGGAGUCUGCAACUCGACUCCAUGAAGUUGGAAUCGCUAGUAAUCGUGGAUCAGCAUGCCACGGUGAAUACGUUCCCGGGUCUUGUACGCACCGCCCGUCACACCACGAAAGUCGGUUGUACCAGAAGUUGCUGGGCUAACCUCUUACGAGGAGGCAGGUACCUAAGGUACGGUCGGUAAUUGGGGUGAAGUCGUAACAAGGUAGCCG